rnacentral:rRNA from 1 species
UACGUAGGGGGCAAGCGUUGUCCGGAAUUAUUGGGCGUAAAGGGCGCGUAGGCGGUGCGGUAAGUCACCUGUGAAAUCUCCUGGCUCAACUGGGAGCUUGCAGGCGAAACUGCCGUGCUGGAGUGUGGGAGAGGUGAGUGGAAUUCCCGGUGUAGCGGUGAAAUGCGUAGAUAUCAGGAGGAACACCUGUGGCGAAAGCGGCACACUGGACCAUAACUGACGCUGAUGCGCGAAAGCUAGGAGAGCAAACAGG